rnacentral:lncRNA from 1 species
AUGUGCUGCAAGGAGGAGUCCAAAAACAAGCAGUCCUGGCAGCAGGAGGUGCAAACGUCAAAAUCUGGUGCAGUGCGCAAAUGCGCACUGACAGCAACUGCAACAGAAGCUGAAAUAUGGAGGCAUGCUAUAAGGUGGUUUGCCCUUUCGGCGGACAGGAGAGGAGGGCGCCAGGAGAGACUGGCGCGUCAGCAGCAGGAGCAGCAACAGCAACAGCUGCCACAGCACCCACCUAGUGAUUUUGUUUAAGUGCAUGUUUUUUUUUCACAUUGUGUUUCACGUUGUGUUUAUAGCCUGUGCGUUUUUUUAUCCAUUAAUUCUGUGUUUGUUGUUGAGUGUGUUUUGUGUUAAUUGUUGAAUUUUGUUCAUGACUUUGUUGUUCAUUUUUUAUAAUUAAAUCUAUGAAUUCGUGGUCAUUAAUUCUGUGUUUGUUAACUUUGUUCACGUUGUUUUAGUAUGCGUUUUAAUCAUUAAAACGAUUUAUUUCAGCUAUAGCCUAUAGGCCUACGCAUUGAUCCAACUGAAA